CCUACGGGAGGCAGCAGUGGGGAAUAUUGGGCAAUGGGCGCAAGCCUGACCCAGCAACGCCGCGUGAAGGAAGAAGGCUUUCGGGUUGUAAACUUCUUUUCUGGGGGACGAACAAAUGACGGUACCCCAGGAAUAAGCCACGGCUAACUACGUGCCAGCAGCCGCGGUAAUAGUGAGGUGGCAAGCGUUAUCCGGAUUUAUUGGGUGUAAAGGGCGUGUAGGCGGGCAUGCAAUUCAGAUGUGAAAACUUUGGGCUCAACCCAUAGCCUGCAUUUGAAACUGUAUUUCUUGAGUGCUGGAGAGGCAAUCGGAAUGCCGGGUGUAGCGGUGAAAUGCGUAGAUAUACGGAGGAACACCAGUGGCGAAGGCGGAUUGCUGGACAGUAACUGACGCUGAGGCGCGAAAGCGUGGGGAGCAAACAGGAUUAGAUACCCGAGUAGUC
rnacentral:rRNA from 1 species